GUGUUCACUUUGGCAGCACAUACACUAAAACUGGAACGAUGAAGAGAAGAUUAGCAUGGCCCCUGUGCAAGGAUGACACCCAAAUUUGUGAAGGGUUCCAUAUUUUU
ensembl:snRNA LOC120103188 U6 spliceosomal RNA